UACAGAGGGUGCGAGCGUUAAUCGGAAUUACUGGGCGUAAAGCGUGCGCAGGCGGUUUGCUAAGAGAGAUGUGAAAUCCCCGGGCUUAACCUGGGAACUGCGUUUCUAACUGGCAGGCCUGAGUGUGGCAGAGGGGGGUGGAAUUCCACGUGUAGCAGUGAAAUGCGUAGAGAUGUGGAGGAACACCGAUGGCGAAGGCAGCCCCCUGGGCUAACACUGACGCUCAUGCACGAAAGCGUGGGGAGCAAACAGG
rnacentral:rRNA from 1 species